GGCUGGUCUGAGUGCAGUGGUGUUUACAACUAAUUGUUCACAACCAGUUACAGAUUUAUUUGUUCCUUCUUCACUCCCAUUGCUUCACUUGAUAAGCCUUUA
ensembl:misc_RNA Y_RNA Y RNA